rnacentral:rRNA from 2 species
GCAGUCGACGACUCUGGUAUUGAUUGGUGCUUGCAUCAUGAUUUACAUUUGAGUGAGUGGCGAACUGGUGAGUAACACGUGGGAAACCUGCCCAGAAGCGGGGGAUAACACCUGGAAACAGAUGCUAAUACCGCAUAACAACUUGGACCGCAUGGUCCGAGUUUGAAAGAUGGCUUCGGCUAUCACUUUUGGAUGGUCCCGCGGCGUAUUAGCUAGAUGGUGGGGUAACGGCUCACCAUGGCAAUGAUACGUAGCCGACCUGAGAGGGUAAUCGGCCACAUUGGGACUGAGACACGGCCCAAACUCCUACGGGAGGCAGCAGUAGGGAAUCUUCCACAAUGGACGAAAGUCUGAUGGAGCAACGCCGCGUGAGUGAAGAAGGGUUUCGGCUCGUAAAACUCUGUUGUUAAAGAAGAACAUAUCUGAGAGUAACUGUUCAGGUAUUGACGGUAUUUAACCAGAAAGCCACGGCUAACUACGUGCCAGCAGCCGCGGUAAUACGUAGGUGGCAAGCGUUGUCCGGAUUUAUUGGGCGUAAAGCGAGCGCAGGCGGUUUUUUAAGUCUGAUGUGAAAGCCUUCGGCUCAACCGAAGAAGUGCAUCGGAAACUGGGAAACUUGAGUGCAGAAGAGGACAGUGGAACUCCAUGUGUAGCGGUGAAAUGCGUAGAUAUAUGGAAGAACACCAGUGGCGAAAGCGGCUGUCUGGUCUGUAACUGACGCUGAGGCUCGAAAGUAUGGGUAGCAACAGGAUUAGAUACCCUGGUAGUCCAUACCGUAACGAUGAAUGCUAAGUGUUGGAGGGUUUCCGCCCUUCAGUGCUGCAGCUACGCAUAGCAUUCCGCUGGGGAGUA